CCCCCUCCCCCGAGACCUUACUUAGCACUCCUCAUUCCUUUGUGGGACUUCUGUAAUCUGUCUGGACGGGUGACUUCACAAAACCCUGGGAAUUACUGAAAGAGGUUUGCCCUAAAUAUGGGCUUUUCUGCCAACAGUUAUUUUCAGUUUUUUCGAUUAUGGUUGUGCUCUCUGUAACCACUGCAGUAUCUCAUAAAUACAGACUGAAUCACAGCCUAGCUGUGGAGCCAACCCUGGGGUGGAGACAACGUCAUGCGGAUGCCUGGAGUCUGUCUUCUGCCCACAGCCUGGGAGUGUCAGGUCAAGUAGCCACUGAGCAGGCCAGGGCCAGGUAGUCCCCAGAGCCGUAUACUAGCCAUGAAGUUAUUUCUCAUGCACUGAGCAGGCCAGGGCCAGGUAGUCCCCAGAGCCACAUACUAGCCAUGAAGUUAUUUCUCAUGCACUUCCUGUUCACACCUGACGCCACAGGAGAUGCAUGGUGAGCCUUACGUCCCAGAUUGUAGAGACGCAGUCUACCCUGACUCUCUUCAGAGUGGCAUCCAGCAAACUUAGGAGGGCUGUUAGCCGAGGCCCUGCCUGCCUCUGACUUGGAUCUCUAUAAGAACUGCAAGACCCCUGUUUCCUUUAUUUCUCCUCCAUGGUGAGCAUUCAAGGAACGGUGGGAGGCAACCGUUGUUGGGCCACGUCAGGGUCGGAAGAGGCCUGGGGUCUCUGGUGUGCCCUGCCCAUGGGAAAGGCAAGUAGGAGGCUGGGCUGGGGGGAUUCAGAGCCAGCACAGACAUGUGGGGAGGCAGGCUGGCGUGAGGAAGGUGCCCAGCUCUCAGAACUAUGCUUCCGGUUGACCUCUCCGUUCUGAGAGGAAUGGGGGAGUCGUGCUUGGAAGAAGCACAGACUGUGAGAUCCAGGGCCCUAUUCCCCCAGACUUCCACAGGGUGCGGUAUGCAAGCUGGAGUACUUGACAUAGGCGGCAGACGGCAGGCUGGGACACAAGGGUGUCUCCCUCGCCCUCCACAGCGCCACAAAGUCCUGUAUCUAAUUAAACUGCACCGGAGAGCGGGGAGGGACAGGGAGGAACGUCUCUGUUGCAUGCUUUUGGUUAAGCUCAUUAUCUGAGAACAGCACCCAAACUCGAGUUUUCCGGAUUCACACCCUCAGGGCCACCGAGGUCCCAGUAGACGCAGAGCCUGGCAACAGACUAGAAGUCCUAGUCAGUAGCCUCAACUAUACAACUCAGUAGCCUCAAGGUCUGGAACCUUACAGGUCGUCUCCGCUCCCUUGUGCCUCAGUUUCCCGAUUUGUUAGCUGCAGGUCUCAGGGGAUUUAAGCGUCCAAUCUUGUCAUGUGAAUGUCAGCUACUGUCCCCCUGGGCCGAGCUGCGUCUAGGGAGAAGGCCGUGCUCGCACAGUGGGUGUCUGGGGACAGGAAGGCAUGUUCCAGGCACUGAGAAGCUGGGUAUUGGCAUGCCUGGUCUUUAUUCACCAAGCUGCAAGGGACUGAGGUGGCCUCUGCUGCUCUCCACUACUCCACGAGAGCUGGCAGGUAACCGACCCGCGGACCUGCUCAAGGGGAGGGCUGUCUUGAGGCUGCUCUCAGGCGAUCUGUAAGCCUCGCUUACACUCGCUGCCUGUGGAUUUCAGCCGACGGCACGGUAGCAUCCGCACACUUUCUGUCAUGAGAAGCAUACAUUCUACUCACUUUGAAACAAAAGUCUAGAAGCCAUUGAGGCCCCCGGACUGGUCCUCACGAGGAAGAGCCUGAUGGUGUGUGCUGCUCACCUCACUAGAGUAGAAACAGGAUGUAGGCCCUGAGGGGCCGCACACAGCUUGGAGCAGCCCACGUGAUCUUUGGGGAGAAGACCACUGGCCUCAGAAUUCUACAUAGAAUUCUAUGUAGACUUCUACCGUAGAGGAAUUCUACAUAGAAGCCACUCUGAUGUCUUAAACUGCAUCUAACACCGAUGCCUAAGUUUGAUUUCUACUGCUGUGGUAAAGAGGACCAAAAGCAACUUGGUGGUAAAAGGGUUUUUAAUGGCUUAGCCAUCCCAGUCCCAAUCUAUCAGGAAGGUAAGUCGUGACAGGACCUCAAGCAGGAGCCAGGCAGCAGGAACUGAAGCUGAAGCUAUAGAAGAACACUGCUGACUGGCUCACUUGGCUUGCUUAUUUAUUCAAGCCAGGACUUCUUGCCCAGCAGUGGCAAGAUCUAGAGGCUUGGCCUCCCAGAUCAGCCAUUCAUCAAGAAAGGGUCCCACAGAUUUGCCUGUAGGCCUGGUGGAGACAUUUUCCCAGUUCAACGUCCCUCUUCCCAGAUGACUAUAGUUUGUGUCAAGCUGACAAAAAACAAAAAACAAAAACAAAAAACUAAUGAACACAGGAUCAAAAGUAAAUUUUUAUGUGUUACUCUUGGUGUAGGUUGGUCUCCAACUAGCAGUCCCCUGCCUCUAUCUUCCAAGUGCUGACCUUACCGCCAUGAACCACCACCCCCUGGUUCUUAUGUGGUUCUUCUUAUAUAGCAGGAGGAGUAGAAGCUCCAGCCAGCCAGAGCCCUGUCAGCGCACGACUGCGGACAGGAUGGAGAGCACAGCGGGAGUUUGCAUGCAUGCAUACUGACCGCGUAUGCACGGAUGUGGGUUCACACAUGUAUCCUGAAAGAGCAUAUGUGUACCUAUUUAUACACAUGUGUAAAGGUUUGUGUGUGCACAGAGAUUAUGAGGGUGUGUGAGAAUUAGGGUAUAUGCACACACUCGUCUCAUUGUGUGUACCCUGGGGUAUUUGGUUAUGUACCUAGAGUAACUAACUUCACCUCAGGGCGCUAUGACAUUCAGGUACUUUUGACUCCAAGUUUGGAUAAGAAAGCCAAUAGAAGUUAGUGUGCUUCCAUUAAAAUGUAUUUUAUCACUUUACAAUACAUUAAAAUUGGUUACUUUCUGAGGA